rnacentral:rRNA from 1 species
AACGAACGCUGGCGGCAGGCUUAACACAUGCAAGUCGAGCGCGCCCUUUCGGGGGUGAGCGGCGGACGGGUGAGUAACGCGUGGGAACGUGCCCUUCUCUCUGGAAUAGCCCUGGGAAACUGGGAGUAAUGCCGGAUACGCCCUUAUCGUAGGGAUACGGUUUGGGGAAAGAUUUAUCGGGGAAGGAUCGGCCCGCGUCGGAUUAGGUAGUUGGUGGGGUAACGGCCUACCAAGCCGACGAUCCGUAGCUGGUUUGAGAGGAUGACCAGCCACACUGGGACUGAGACACGGCCCAGACUCCUACGGGAGGCAGCAGUGGGGAAUCUUGGACAAUGGGGGCAACCCUGAUCCAGCCAUGCCGCGUGAGCGAUGAAGGCCUUAGGGUUGUAAAGCUCUUUCAGCGGGGAAGAUAAUGACGGUACCCGCAGAAGAAGCCCCGGCUAACUCCGUGCCAGCAGCCGCCGUAACAC